rnacentral:rRNA from 1 species
AGGUGCGAUCAUACCAACACUAAUGCACCGAAUCUCAUCGGAACUCUGCAGUUAAGCGCGCUUGGGCGAGAUUGGUACUAAGGUGGACUUUGUCACUAAACUUU